GACGAACGCUGGCGGCGUGCUUAACACAUGCAAGUCGAACGGAAAGGCCCUGCUUUUGUGGGGUGCUCGAGUGGCGAACGGGUGAGUAACACGUGAGUAACCUGCCCUUGACUUUGGGAUAACUUCAGGAAACUGGGGCUAAUACCGGAUAGGAGCUCCUGCUGCAUGGUGGGGGUUGGAAAGUUUCGGCGGUUGGGGAUGGACUCGCGGCUUAUCAGCUUGUUGGUGGGGUAGUGGCUUACCAAGGCUUUGACGGGUAGCCGGCCUGAGAGGGUGACCGGCCACAUUGGAACUGAGAUACGGCCCAGCCUCCUACGGGAGGCAGCAGUGGGGAAUAUUGCACAAUGGGCGGAAGCCUGAUGCAGCGACGCCGCGUGCGGGAUGACGGCCUUCGGGUUGUAAACCGCUUUCGCCUGUGACGAAGCGUGAGUGACGGUAAUGGGUAAAGAAGCACCGGCUAACUACGUG
rnacentral:rRNA from 1 species